CCAACGAAGUUUGUUACUGGUAUGAGCUUUCGUGUGCAUGAAGUGUGCAUGCACACGAAAGCUCAUACCAGUAACAAACUUCUUGUUGG